rnacentral:rRNA from 1 species
UACGGGGGGCAAGCGUUGUUCGGAAUUACUGGGCGUAAAGGGUUCGUAGGUGGCCAACUAAGUCAGACGUGAAAUCCCUCAGCUUAACUGGGGAACUGCAUUUGUGACUGCACGGCUAGAGUGUGUCAGAGGGGGUAGAAUUCCACGUGUAGCAGUGAAAUGCGUAGAUAUGUGGAGGAACACCGAUGGCGAAGGCAGCCCCCUGGGUCAAGACUGACGCUCAUGCACGAAAGCGUGGGGAGCAAACAGG